rnacentral:lncRNA from 1 species
GCCCAGUCAAUUUGACACAUAUUAACCAUCACAGUAUCCUAAAAAGGCACAGAAACUGACAGAACCCAGGCAUCUCUGGAAUUGGGAGUGAAAGGAGGUCCAAAAUAAUGAGAACUGGGUGAAAGCAGUUUGAGAUGCAGCUAGAUCCUGAGAUCCCCUCACCCACUCCAUACUUAUUAGCAACUGCCCCUCCCUUGUCUCCAAGAAGAGGCAUUAGUACCUACAGAUGGUAAAAUAAAGGUCUGUGGACUGAGGAAACCAGGCAUAGUUGAGGAUGUGAGUACUGUACCAAAAAUAAGGGUUUAAGUGACUACUGCUAUUGAAUGUUAGAUGCUGAGUCCAGCUCUAUUCUCCCACUGGGCUCCCUGAGCAUUACCAGGAGAUUGGAACAUUUAAAGAGGCUUCUCUGGGGAAUCCAAGCGGCCUGAAACACCUAAAUAAAGUGAUCCUGGAGGUAUCCCAACAUAGGGCCUCCCCAGGGCACAUGAUAGUGACAAGCACAAUUCGUAAGCCCUACCCAAAUUCCCAUUGGUCUUUAGUCCCUCUCUUAUAAUGAUAAGACAAGCAAAUAUAUCC